rnacentral:rRNA from 1 species
GGGGGUAAAUUUAAUAAAUAUAAAAAUUAAUAAAAAAAAUUUUAUUAUUAAAAAUAUAUAAUGGGGGUUAAAGUAUUUUUAAUAGAAAAAAUUUAUAAAUUUAUAGUUUAAUAGUAUUGUAAAAGAAAAUUUAAAUAAAUGAAAAAUAAAAUUUUAAUUAAAGUAAAUUUAAUUUAUUGUAUCUUGUGUAUCAGAGUUUAUUAAAUAAAAAUUUUUGAAUAAAAAAUUCUCGAAUUUAAAAGAGUUAAUUAAUUAAAAAAGUUAAUGUUGAAUAAUUAUUUUUAAUAAUUAAUUAGAAAUGAAAUGUUAAUCGUUUUUAAAUAUAUCUAGUUUUUUUAGAAAAAAAUUUAAUUUUAAAUUAAAAUAAUUUUAUAAUUAAUUAAUUAAUUAUAUAAAUUUUAUAUUCAAUAUUUUGGGGGAUAAGCUUUAAAUUAAAAAAUUAUAAUUUUUUUUUUUUAAUUGAAAUUUUUAAUAUUUAUAUUGUUUAUAAAUUAUAAUUUAUUAUAAAAAAUUUUAAUUAAAUUAAAAUUUAAAUAUAAAUUUAAUUUUUUAUAAAAAAAUUAUUUUUAAUAAUAAAAAAUUAGAAAUAAUGAUAAAAUUAGUAUAAUAUAAUAAAAAAAAAUAAAAUUAUUAAAAGUUAAAUUAAAGGAAUUCGGCAAAAAUUUAUAUUCACUUGUUUAUCAAAAACAUGUCUUUUUGAUUAAUAAUUUAAAGUCUAAUCUGCCCACUGAUAUUAAUUAAAGGGCUGCAGUAUAUUGACUGUACAAAGGUAGCAUAAUCAUUAGUCUUUUAAUUGGAGACUUGUAUGAAAGAUUUGAUGAAAUAUAAACUGUCUCUAUUUUAUUAGUAAAAUUUAAUAUUUUAGUUAAAAAGCUAAAAUAAAAUUAAAAGACGAGAAGACCCUAUAGAGUUUUAUAUUUUAUUUUAUUGUAAUAAAAUAUAUAAUUAAUUAUUAUAAUAAAAUAAAAUAUUUCAUUGGGGUGAUGAAAAAAUUUAAUAAACUUUUUUUUUUUUAUUUGACAUGAAUAAGUGAUUAAAUGAUCCAUAAUUUUAUGAUUAUAAGAAAAAAUUACCUUAGGGAUAACAGCGUAAUAUUUUUUUUUAGUACGAAUAAAAAAAAAAGUUUGCGACCUCGAUGUUGGAUUAAGAUAAAAAUUAAAUGCAAAAGUUUAAAAUUUUUGAUCUGUUCGAUCAUUAAAAUCUUACAUGAUCUGAGUUCAAACCGGUGUAAGCCAGGUUGGUUUCUAUCUUUAAUGAAUUAUAAUAUUUUAGUACGAAAGGAUCAAAUAUUAAAAAUAAUUUUAGUUAAUUUGAAUAUUAUUAAUGUUUUAAUUUA